UACGUAGGGGGCAAGCGUUGUCCGGAUUUACUGGGCGUAAAGCGCGCGUAGGCGGAAGGUGAAGCGUGGCCUGAAAGCCCCCGGCUCAACCGGGGAGGGCGGCUGCGAACUGGCCUUCUUGAGGGCGAUAGAGGGGGGCGUGGAAUUCCGGGUGGAGCGGUGAAAUGCGUAGAGAUCCGGAGGAACACCGACGGCGAAAGCACUCUGCUGGGCCGACACUGACACUGAGAGACGAAAGCUAGGGGAGCGAAUGGG
rnacentral:rRNA from 1 species